UGUGAAUGAUUGCUGGACCGAGACUAGAAAUAGACUAGUCUGUAAAAGGAAGCUUACUGGGAUUCUUGGUUAGGGUUGGGGGACCUGCUCAGAGGAAGAAUUAUUCAUGUGAAAGGAUCAAAAAUAUUCCUGGAGAGAAGAGAGCGGUGGUGUCUUGCCCUUACCCUGGAGGAGACUGACAUUCAGCUCGGCCUGCAGCAACCGAUCGGGUUUGAAAGUGUAACUGUCGCGCAGCCCAGAAACAAACAUGGUGCUGUUCCUGUGGCAGCUCCAGCAGACACAGGAGUCCUGGCAGAUGGGCAACUCCUUGCCUCCCUGAGGCUCACAUAGGAUCUGUGUGCUUCUCCCAUGUGCAGAGAAAGUGGGUGAGGAGGAGCUGAUUUAGAUACAGAUAGAAAAUCCCAAAUUAGGCUCCUGAAAUCUUCCCCACAUUUAUUCUAUUCUACUCAAUAUAAGUUCUUAUACUGCACUCAUUGCUGUGGUAUCUGAGCACCUUCCAGUAAAGCUUUAAGAAAUGUGAA